AAGCUACAACUCUUUCUGGAGAUAUGAUCUUAAUUAAGGUUUGAAUUAUUUAACUACUAGAUUUGAAUUAUUGUUCUUUUUGUUGCUGGUUUUUAGGAUACUGAUAAUGUGUAUUCACUUUAUAUUAGAUUAGGAUUGCGAUUGAGAUUUGUGUUUUAUAUCUAUCGUUAGUGUGAUUCGAUAUUUAGAGUUUGAGUAAUUGGUUAGUUAUCUGAUUAUAGAUUCAUGGGGUUUAACAUUUGUGUAUAAGUGAGUUUUCUGCUUCACAUGUUUAGUUGUAUGUAUGCAUUAUUGAGGUUACUUACACAUGCUUGUUUUUAAAAUUUUAAAAUCUCAUAACUUUGUAUAAUUAAUUUCAAUUGGAAUUCAAAUUCAAAAACUCUUAUGCUUAUAAAUGACUUCAAUACUAAUGAAUUAUAGUUGAUUUAUAUUUAUUUUUAUACAUCAAUUGAUACUUAGCAUGAGCAGGCUGCACCUUAUGUUGUUGCUGCAGCACACAGUAGCAUGAGCAUUCUGCUCAAGUUGCUGCAGCACACAGCAACAUGAGCAGCAACAUGAGCAAAACUUCUCAUGUUACUACUCUAACAGAAUGAGCAUAACAUUUUGCUUUCUUCCUAAUAUUUUAUCAUUUAAUUGAUUUAGUAUGCCACGUAUAUUUUGACAACUUUGCAUGUAGGAAGAUAUUUGGUAUUAAAUAAGUAGACUUUCUUUCUUUUUAUUGCUAUUUUGUCAUAAUUCAUAAUUAGCUCAUUAAAAUAUAUUUAGGAUUUAUAUUAUCUUUUUGUAGGAAUUAUAUGAUUGCAUAUUUGAUCACUGAAUUUGGCAAAGGAACCCUAUGAUGUGAACCUUUUUUCUUAUUCUUUUUAUUUUACUAAAGCAGUGGAUUAAAUUAAAAGUAUAACUUUUAAACAAUUUACUUUUUAAGUUGAAAGCAUUUAUUAUCAAAUUGGACAAAAUUUAUAUGAAUCUUAUGAUCAUAUAGUAUGAGACUUUAUCACCUGUAAAAAUUUUUAUGAAUUCAAGUAAGUAUACAUUCAUUGGAUGCAAUCAAUGGAUUUGGUUAUUUAUGUCAUCUGUUUAGGUUUUAUAAAAGUUUUCUAGUUAUUAUUCUUAUUACAUGAUACUAUAGAUUAUUACUAAGAAGAAGCCAUGUGAAGCAUAUCAAAUUAGAUUCAAAAAGUUCUAAUCGGACUCUUAAUUUUUGUUAGUAUUACACAUUCCUUUUGUAGUUGAAAACCAAAACAGGAGGGUUUAAAUUCGACAUUAAUUUUUUAUAUUUGUAGUAUUCAUAGUUGUGAUAAUGAUAAAUUAUCAGCUAUCCUGUUUCUUUUUAGUAUUGUAUUUUUUUAUAGCUUAUGCAUGAUAGAAUAAAUAAAUACAUUGAGGAAAUAAAAUAAGCUGGAUGGAUUGACUGCUUUGAGAAGAAAGUUAAAGAGGAAGGGAUGUCUCCAUCAGCUAUUCUGUUUAUUUUUAAGAAUUUUAUUACAUGAAUCGCAUGUGUGUACUUUAAUACUCUUUUAAAGAUAUAAUUUUUUAAUUAAAUUGUCUCAUGUGAUUGGAUACUUUUUGGUUGUUAAACUAUAUUAAAUUAUUUAACUUUUUAAAUACUUGAAUUUUUUUAUACAAUUUGAAUUUAUUAUGUAGUUUAAAUAUUUAUACUUUUAGUAUUGGACUAUAUUAGUGAUCAUACCAUUUUAGAUUGUAGAAUUAUGGAAUGAAAUAUACAAUUACAUAUUGUUAUUGCAACAAGAAUAUAAAUAUAUUAGGAAAAAAAUUGUAAAAAUUUAGCUUCAUAACAACGACUAAAUCAGAAACAAUGAUCUAAAUAAAAAAUACCUUAUUUGAUUUAACUACUAAUUAGCUGUAAUACCCGGCUAGAGUCCGGCAUCGGAAUUCCACUUCCCGGUGGAGUCCGGAAUGUCGGAAUUCUCUAGAAGGGUAAGAUUUAUGUUUUUCUCUAAUGUUUUGAUAUGUUCAUAGUUUUAAAGCUUCAGGAAAUGUGUUUUUGAAAGAAAAGAACCAAGGCAGAAAAGCCAGGUUCGGCCGCCGAAGGUGAGGUUCGGCCGCCGAACAUACAUAGCUUUCGGUUUCACGAUAGGCCGCCGAAGGUGGUCUGGCCAGCCACCUAUAAAAGGCCCUCAGUCGGUUGGAAGGAUAAGGAUUGCCUUUUCUUUCUCUUUCUGAGGUGAGACCCUGUCCUUCUUACGUUUUAUUCAUGUUUUCAUCAAAUCAUGCCAAUAGUUUAUUGAUUUUUAUAUUUUUUUGAAGGUUUUGAGCUAAAAAUACAAAGUUGUGAAGUUUGGAGAGUUUGAAGGAGAGUUGCUCCAAAACUCCACGUUGGGAUCGUUCAUCUUCUUGUGUUCAAGAGGUAAGUGAAGAUCCUGAGCUUGUUUUCAUGUUUUCUGAAGGUUUUAGAAGGGUUUUGGGUAGAGUUGCAUGAAAAGGGUAAAAAGUGAGGGUUUUGGUGUUUUGUUGAUCAACAGCAUGUUUAUGUGUUAUAUGUGUUGUGUUGUUGGGGUUUUUAGGUAGUUUCUGACCCCUUUGAGCAUAUACUUGGGUGUAUGGAAGUUGAGGACUUAAGGUGGUUGAGUUUGGGAUGGUUUUGUGCAUUUUGGCGAGAGGCAAAGCAAGUUUCUGCCUUGCUGAUGAACCCAGCUUCGGCCGCCGAAGAAUGGUUCGGCCGCCGAACCCCUGAGGAAGUGGCUUCGGCUGCCCAAGCUUGCCCCCGAGCUUUUGGACUUUCGGCUCUGGAGGGGAGUUUCGGCCGCCGAAGGUGCCGCCGAAGGUUAGAGACUUUCGUCUCUCGAGUGCCUUUCAGCCCCCGAAACUUGCCCCCGAAACUUGCCCCCGAAAGGGUUCGACUGCCGAAAGUUGAGAUUCGGCCGCCGAAGGUGCAUGAGUUUCGGCUCUGGAGAGGACUUUCGGCCGCUGAACCUGCCGCCGAAAGUGUUCUGUCCAGCCUUCCUUUGCAUGCUUUGUAUGGAUGUUUGAGUGACUUUAAGGGGAUUCUUGGGGAGUUUACUAGAGUUGUUCAUAAGCUAGUUUGGUCCCUCAUUUGAGUUUAUCUGUGCCUACACAGACUAGAGGAACCAGAGAGAGCAGCAGUGAGUCCUGCUCCAGAGUGUACAGCGCCUGCAGAGUCAGUCCAGAUAGCCAGAGGUGAGUGGAACUAAAUGAAAUCUUUUAAUUGAGAAAUGGAAUGGUUUUAGCAUAUGUCAUGCAUCAUGAGUAUACAGUAGGUUGCUUGCAUUAGAAUUCACGAAUAUGUUGCAUUGCAUAGUUAUUUGUUGAUGUGGGUGAAUGCUGAAUGAUCCAAUAGUCAUUGAGAUAAGUCCAGGAGCCUUUGACUACGCCCUGGCAGGUAUAGUAAAGUCCAGGAGCCUUUGACUACGCCCUAGCAAUGGUAAGUCCAGGUGUUAUAUACACAUAUACAUAUAUGAGACAGGAAAUCCAGGUGCCUUUGACUACGCCCUAGUAUGAGAUACUGGGACUAUUUGGUGACAGGUUUACCCUUGAUGUGGAUUGUCUGUGUUAUGAUGCAUUCCAUAAGGUCAUGUUUUAAUGAUAUGUUUUACUGUUUUACUGUUCUACUCACUGGGCUAUAGAGCUCAUCCCACUCCCUUAACCCUAGUCUUGCAGGUUCAGUGUACAGUAUACAGGGGAGAUCAGCAGAGUACAGAAAGAGUAAAGAGAUUUGUAAUAGCUUAGAGUGGACAUGUAAUAUUAAAGAG
rnacentral:lncRNA from 1 species